rnacentral:rRNA from 1 species
GGAAUAUUGGACAAUGGGGGCAACCCUGAUCCAGCCAUGCCGCGUGAGUGAUGAAGGCCCUAGGGUUGUAAAGCUCUUUCACCGGUGAAGAUAAUGACGGUAACCGGAGAAGAAGCCCCGGCUAACUUCGUGCCAGCAGCCGCGGUAAUACGAAGGGGGCUAGCGUUGUUCGGAAUUACUGGGCGUAAAGCGCACGUAGGCGGACAUUUAAGUCAGGGGUGAAAUCCCGGGGCUCAACCCCGGAACUGCCUCUGAUACUGGGUGUCUUGAGUUCGAGAGAGGUGAGUGGAAUUCCGAGUGUAGAGGUGAAAUUCGUAGAUAUUCGGAGGAACACCAGUGGCGAAGGCGGCUCACUGGCUCGAUACUGACGCUGAGGUGCGAAAGCGUGGGGAGCAAAC